UAAAGCAACUACGGGGCUAUUGUAACUAAAUUAAAUAUCUCCGCUAAUUAUUGGAUUUUAAAUAUAACGGCAUCUAUAAGAUUUUUGAGCAAACCAAAUUGUUACAUGAAAAUAAUAGGUGGCAGCGCUGCAGCUAAAAAUGAUGGUAAAACAGGUUGAUCUGUCAAACCACUAUUUUGAAGCAAUUUUUAACGAACGCACGUGGUGACACUAAUUUAUUAAAAAAAUGUUUUAGAGUGUUUUAUUGCUGGUGUUUCAUGUGGAGUACAUUGUUGACAACCAUGGUCCGGAAUUAUAAACGAAAAACUGAAAUAAAAUAUUCUCAGGACAAUUUGUUAAAAGCAUUGGAAGAUGUUAGAAACAAUAAAUUAAACACCUAUCAAGCGGCUGACGUCUACGGAAUUCCGAGAUCUACUUUAGUUCACCGAUUACGCGGAUCACGAGGAGUGAAAAAAUCAUGUCGCGGUAGGCCUACUGUUUUCACCAAAGACACGGAAACAAAAAUAGCCGGCUAUAUCCACGUAAUGGAAAAAACUGGUUUUCCUUUAACGGUGCAAGAAGUCAAAGUUUUGAUAUCCGAAUUGACAUCAAAAGAAAUGGUUUUAUUACGCCGUUUAAAAAUGACAUCCCUGGUGAUGAUAUUUAUAAGAUGUCAUUGUCAGAGUUACUCAAAAAUAUACCAUCAACGCGAAGACCGACAUCCGCGCGGACGGAGUCGCGGGCGGAAGCUAGUACUUAAUAUUAACUAAAAUGUUACUUAAUUUUCUAGGAACAAGAAAUUCUUAUGUUAUGUGUGAUUUUUUACUUUGAUCUUUCCUAUUAAAACACUGUGCCAUA